rnacentral:rRNA from 1 species
UACGGAGGGUGCGAGCGUUGUCCGGAUUUACUGGGCGUAAAGAGCGCGCAGGCGGUCGUUCAAGUCGCGUGUGAAAGCCCCCCGGCUCAACUGGGGAGGGUCACGCGAUACUGAUCGACUCGAAGGCAGGAGAGGGAUGCGGAAUUCCAGGUGUAGCGGUGAAAUGCGUAGAUAUCUGGAGGAACACCGGUGGCGAAGGCGGCAUCCUGGACCGGCAUUGACGCUGAGGCGCGAAAGCUAGGGGAGCAAACGGG